UACGUAGGGUGCGAGCGUUGUCCGGAAUUAUUGGGCGUAAAGAGCUCGUAGGCGGCUUGUUGCGUCUAUCGUGAAAACCUGCAGCUUAACUGUGGGCUUGCGGUGGAUACGGGCAGACUUGAGUUCGGUAGGGGAGACUGGAAUUCCUGGUGUAGCGGUGAAAUGCGCAGAUAUCAGGAGGAACACCGGUGGCGAAGGCGGGUCUCUGGGCCGAUACUGACACUGAGGAGCGAAAGCGUGGGGAGCGAACAGG
rnacentral:rRNA from 1 species